rnacentral:rRNA from 1 species
GACGAACGCUGGCGGCGUGCUUAACACAUGCAAGUCGAACGAUGAAGCCGGAGCUUGCUCUGGUGAAUUAGUGGCGAACGGGUGAGUAACACGUGAGUAACCUGCCCUUGACUCUGGGAUAACUGCGGGAAACUGUAGCUAAUACCGGAUACGACCCUCGGAGGCAUCUCCUGGGGGUGGAAAGAAUUUCGGUCAAGGAUGGACUCGCGGCCUAUCAGCUAGUUGGUGAGGUAAAGGCUCACCAAGGCGACGACGGGUAGCCGGCCUGAGAGGGUGAACGGCCACACUGGGACUGAGACACGGCCCAGACUCCUACGGGAGGCAGCAGUGGGGAAUAUUGCACAAUGGGAGCAAGCCUGAUGCAGCAACGCCGCGUGAGGGAUGACGGCCUUCGGGUUGUAAACCUCUUUUAGCAGGGAAGAAGCGAAAGUGACGGUGCCUGCAGAAAAAGCACCGGCUAACUACGUGCCAGCCGCCGCCGUAA